UACGUAGGGGGCAAGCGUUGUCCGGAUUUAUUGGGCGUAAAGAGCGUGUAGGCGGCCAGGUAGGUCAGCUGUGAAAACUCGAGGCUCAACCUCGAGACGUCGGUUGAAACCACCUGGCUAGAGUCCGGAAGAGGAGAGUGGAAUUCCUGGUGUAGCGGUGAAAUGCGCAGAUAUCAGGAAGAACACUCGUGGCGAAGGCGGCUCUCUGGGACGGUACUGACGCUGAGACGCGAAAGCGUGGGGAGCGAACAGG
rnacentral:rRNA from 1 species